rnacentral:misc_RNA from 1 species
CGUAGGUGAACCUGCGGAAGGAUCAUUCAUAAUAAGUGUUUUAUGGCACUUUUUUAAAUCCAUAUCCACCUUGUGUGCAAUGUCAGGGUUAAUUUUUCUCUCGAGAGGAUCAGCCCCAAACAUCAACUAUAUCUCAACUCUUUGUCUGAAAAAUAUUAUGAAUAAAACAAUUCAAAAUACAACUUUCAACAACGGAUCUCUUGGCUCUC